GUCAGAGCUCCAGCUGUCGGCAUAUUAUAAUCUGAUUUGAUUUGGGUAUUUAAACCGUUUACAGUUUUUGAUUCGGGAUUGCGAAAUGGUUUUCCGUUUUUGCCAAAUUAACAAACGUUUAUGUAUUUUACAUGUUUAUACCCUUCGUCUUCGCCCUCCCGCGAGAUCUCGUCAGCAUUUUGAUUGUGAAUUUAGAAAAUACUCGUAUAUUUAUCACUAACUUUUAUGAGAUUUUAUAUAAGAUGCCUAUUUGGGUUUUCUGGCGACGCUGUUGUGGCAUAUUAUACCACAUAUCUCAACAAAUAUUUUCAGCGUAGGGCUGGUUUUGCCUUGCUCGAUGAUUAAUGUCAAAUUUGCGGGUCUGUUACGAGCUUCGACUGGUAUUUCGGAUGUGAACACGAUGCUCAUCGAAUGUCAGCAGUGAGAACGCCCUUUUCGAAUAUCUAAACAACAUUAUUGCUAUGGUUCUGGCCGAAGAUCGUUACGUUUGUUGGUAGAUCAGACAGUUAGUUAUACAUACAUACUACAGGACUCUCUUGAACAAGAAUGUACACACAUAGCUUAUGGAAUGGAACAGACUUUCUUUUUGCAACCUCUGAUCGAUUCGAUUCGUUCCAUCAAAGAGUAUGUUCCAUCUUUAUAUCAAUGUUUAUUCAAGAAAUUAAAUUUACAUAGUUUCAUUGUUGUUUGUAUGCUUUAACAUGGUUGUAUGUAGAAGUACGCUCACGUUACAAAUAGAAGACACGGCUAACAAUUUUCUCUGUCGGAGUGUGUGUGUGUGUGUGUAUGUGGGGACAGUCUUAGGACUAAUAAAUGUGUAUUCUCUCCAUAUUUUCAUUCGAUUACUUUAUUUGGUGCUAAUGAACAGGUCUUUACUCUUUGUUGUUAAAGUUAAUAAUUCUAAUCAAUUUUGUGAAGACUUUGCAAAGCGGAUUCCAUUCCAAUGAUAUUCAUCAUUUGUGAUGUUGUUUUGCAAAGUCUUCCAACAAAAUGAACAAUUGGUGUGUGUAUUUAUGGAGGAGCACAAUGUCUCUUGCUGUGUGAUAGUGUGUACUGAUCGUUUAUCUAUACAUUUAAUACUGGGUUCGACGCUUCCUUUCACAUGGUUACAGUUCGCUUACGCUUAUGUUAGGUUCGCGGUUGCUUAGACAAAAUACAUUUUACAUAAUGCAACUUAACGCUUAAUAAUCCGGUGCUGUUUACGAUACAAGGACAAGUGACAGGGACACAAAGGAGGAUAGCGACUAAGACUAUGGUAAUCAAAAUUUCCAUCUAUGUGAGGGGGGCGUUUGUG
rnacentral:sRNA from 1 species